AUUGAUAAAUCUAUACGAUGACUGGAUCAAGAAUAUUUCACCUGUCCCACAUCCAAUGAGUACUCCUACGCAAGCAGGCCUACAAUGCCGAAUUGCCUCUACCAAGCUAAUAUCCAUGAGAAAGUGUAGAUCGGAAAAAAUAAACCUAUUCCUAUUCAUAGCCACAAGGCCCACAUCAGCAAACUUUUAUUCUCAAUCAUUGCUAGCUUCAUAAUGGAUUGGAAAUCAAAGAUUUUCUUUGGACUCUCAUC
rnacentral:lncRNA from 1 species